CUGACUCAAAUCAACUGCAGCUCUCCUGCAACUCGUUGCCAGAUUGUUUCUUCUCCUUUGUGGUACAGUGUCUCUCCAAUUUAUUUUAGAUUCUCCAAUUAAAGAGAGAUGCCUGGAGUCCAGCUGUUCGAAUGUGCCAGUGUAUAGAACUCUCUCUCCCACUGCCCCCCUCCUCCCAUCACUCCUGUGAACGAGCACUGACGGCACCUUUUGCUGAUUGGCUGGAACGAUGUUGUGGGCAAGGAUUCCAGUACCAGCGUAUUUGUUUCACCAUUCACGACUCGCUGCCUCAGCUCAACUUCCACCAUACUACACCUUCAGCUUGCCUGCCUUCAUACUGUCUGCCUAAACAUACUGUAAUGCUG